rnacentral:rRNA from 1 species
CCUACGGGAGGCAGCAGUGAGGAAUAUUGGUCAAUGGGCGCGAGCCUGAACCAGCCAAGUCGCGUGAGGGAAGACGGUCCUAUGGAUUGUAAACCUCUUUUGUCGGGGAGCAAAAGACGCCACGCGUGGCGUUCCGAGAGUACCCGAAGAAAAAGCAUCGGCUAACUCCGUGCCAGCAGCCGCGGUCAUACGGAGGAUGCGAGCGUUAUCCGGAUUUAUGGGGUUUAAAGGGUUCGCAGGCGGAAGAUCAAGUCAGCGGUAAAAUUGAGAGGCUCAACCUCUUCGAGCCGUUGAAACUGGUUUUCUUGAGUGAGUGAGAAGUAUGCGGAAUGCGUGGUGUAGCGGUGAAAUGCAUAGAUAUCACGCAGAACUCCGAUUGCGAAGGCAGCAUACCGGCGCUCAACUGACGCUCAUGCACGAAAGUGUGGGUAUCGAACAGGAUUAGAUACCCCUGUAGUC